GACAGAGGGUGCAAGCGUUGUUCGGAUUUACUGGGCGUAAAGCGCGUGUAGGCGGCUUGGCACGUCGGAUGUGAAAGCCCACGGCUCAACCGUGGAAGCGCAUCCGAAACUGCUUCGCUCGAGUCUCGGAGAGGAAGGUGGAAUGCUUGGUGUAGAGGUGAAAUUCGUAGAUAUCAAGCAGAACACCUGCGGCGAAGGCGGCCUUCUGGACGAUGACUGACGCUGAGACGCGAAAGCGUGGGGAGCAAACAGG
rnacentral:rRNA from 1 species